rnacentral:ribozyme from 13 species
UUUGUUUUUGUCUUUAUCUUUGUCUUUGUCUUUUUCUUUUAAAAUGGGAGUAGCACACGGAAAGAAAAAGAAGAAAGAGCCACCUGACCUUUUAAAUAUCACAGGCAAAUGCAACAAAUAUUAUGAUUUUGUUCUUGCUGGGGUUUAUGGGC